UAUUGCAACGUUACGUCGGC
rnacentral:misc_RNA from 1 species